CAGUCGCCGCGGGAAUACGAAGGGUGCAAGCGUUAAUCGGAAUUACUGGGCGUAAAGCGUGCGUAGGCGGUUUGUUAAGUCUGUUGUGAAAUCCCCGGGCUCAACCUGGGGAUGGCAAUGGAUACUGGCAAGCUAGAGUGUGUCAGAGGAUGGUGGAAUUCCCGGUGUAGCGGUGAAAUGCGUAGAGAUCGGGAGGAACAUCAGUGGCGAAGGCGGCCAUCUGGGACAACACUGACGCUGAGGCACGAAAGCGUGGGGAGCAAACAGGAUUAGAUACCCGUGUAGUCCCUGUCUCUUAUAC
rnacentral:rRNA from 1 species